UACGAAGGGGGCUAGCGUUGCUCGGAAUUACUGGGCGUAAAGCGCACGUAGGCGGAUUGUUAAGUCGGGGGUGAAAUCCUGGAGCUCAACUCCAGAACUGCCUUCGAUACUGGCGAUCUCGAGUUCGGGAGAGGUGAGUGGAACUGCGAGUGUAGAGGUGAAAUUCGUAGAUACUCGCAAGAACACCAGUGGCGAAGGCGGCUCACUGGCCCGAUACUGACGCUGAGGUGCGAAAGCGUGGGGAGCAAACAGG
rnacentral:rRNA from 1 species